rnacentral:antisense_RNA from 2 species
CUUCAGCGACCCCAGCCGCAGCGGUUCCGCGUCGCCGCGUCCCACUCCGUACGUGGCGAGCAGCGCCUGGGCCUC